UGCCCAGGAUCCAAACCCUGGACCUCCGAAGCAGAGCGCUUGAACUUAACCACAUGGCCACGGGGCCGGCCCCCUCACUUUUCAACAAACAACUAUUCUGCAGUGAGUUUUGGCUGACCUGCAGGGCCUGCUCUCUGGCGACUUGAUCUGGCCGUCUGUGUAGGACAGCACCUAUAGGGGAGUGUUAAGAGUUUUUCUGAAUAACUAUGUGCCAUGGGUAGUGGAUCACACUAAUUGUUCUUGCUAUGCAUUUAAAGGGAUUUUUUUUUUCUCCUCGAUACUUUGUUCUUUGAAUUUGUUGCCCAUAAGGCAGUCCAUUUAAAACAGAACUUGGCGGUUGCUUUCUCUGACCUUGAAGCAGACUGUUGGUCAUUUUGUUUGCAUAACUCUUGGCUCCUCUGUCCUGAACUACUCCACACCUCCUCGGCCCCCUGCCCUGUGAACCAGUUACUUUGCUUCUUUGUCCCUGGCUAGGGUACUGUAGUAGAAGGCCAAACCAUAGUGGGUUAGCUGUGGAGUAAAGUAAUAAAGAGGAAAACAAUAUAAUGUUAAAUACGUGGUUUGCAUUUUCAACUUUGUGUUUUUAUCGAAUUCCCACUUUCCCAUAAAGUAACUCCUUCUAAGCUUGGCCACAUUUUCUUAGAUCUUGGAUGUGUGGGUCUGUGCUGGUGUGCAUUACUGUAAUGUUUUUACAUAUAUUAACAUGAUGCAUAUUCAUCCCACUAACAUGGAUUAGAAGUUCAAAUGGAUGCACAGACGUGAAUGAUAGACUUUAGUACAUGCAUAUGCUUUCUUUCUAAUAAACAAUAGCUUUUCAGGACUGUAUACUUGUGAGGAUUCCUAACAAAGUUUUAGUUGAGAACAAACGGAGACUAUCUAAUUUUUUACUUAUAAUUUUAUCCUAGAAAUUUACAUGCUCUGUUGAUUUCAAAUUGUGAAAGAAAAUCUCAGUGAUCGCUGUUAGUCCUUUGACUUCGUCUUUUGUUUGGAUAUGUUUACAUAGAAUUGUUUUUGCUGCUAAGUGGCCUCCUAUUUGUAAGCAGGUAUUUGUUAGAACACAUUUAGAAGGAAAUUUUUAUUCUUUAGGAAAAUCAGGAGGUUUUUUUGCUUGUUUUUUUUGUGUGUGUGUGCGGAAGAUUGUUCCUGAGCUAACAUCUGUGCCAGUCUUCCUCUGUUUUGUAUGUGGAACACCGCCCCAGCACGGCUUGAUGAGUGGUGUGUAGGUCUGCACCUGGGAUCCAAGCCCGCGAACCCCAGGCUGCUGAAGUGGAGCAUGCGAACUGGACUGGUCCCUAGGAAAAUCAGAUUUGAAGCAGAAUUUAUAGACCGUGUUUUCCUUGGUUAUAAUUCUGGCUUGCUCUGAAGGGUCACUGAUCUUUUUCCACUGUCUAGUGGAAAAAUGACCAGCCAUGGUGUGACAAGGCACAAGGUUGACUAAUAUCAAGGAAAAAAAAUAUUAAACGCCAUCUAGUUUUCUAAUGCUUUGCAUAAAUUUGCUGGCACUACUGACUCUAAAUUUGGCAGCGAUUUUUCUGGUAAAUAUAAUCUCAAGGCAGAAACAAUAAUGUAAAGUAUAAUAUCACCCAAAAGAAAAGGGGACUGAAAUGCAUGGCUGUUCCAGCCCUCGUCCUUCCCCCCUCAUAUGUUUGGCAUGCUUUAAGAGUCAUAAAAGAUAAAUUAAUUCUCAAAGAAUUUAGACUGUUCUUCCUGCAUGUGACUCGUCAGCUUCUCACAUCAAACAGAGUGGGGAGCUUUUUGCAUUUUUAGUUGAUCUUCUAUAUUUGCAGAAUUUUCAUCUUCUUUUCUUCGUUUACAACCUAGUAAUUCUUUCCUUUAAAGAUGGCUAAAUUCUAAACUCAACAAACUGUAUCCAUUAGAUAUGUGCAGUUUUCAUGUAUCAAUUAUACCUCAGUAGAGCUGUUAAUGAUCUUUUAAAUGUCUAAGAAAUCUGUGUUUAACUGAUCCUAGAGGCAGUGUACUUCUAGGAAACACUUUCAAGAAAGAUUUAUUUUCUGAACAAAACUAAUUGUCUAGCCGCUAAUUCAGAGAGAGCCUCUGUAAGGUAUUUGCAGCAAUGCAAGCUCAUUUCUUCAAAUCAGCAACUAUUGACACAGUUCCUCUUAUACUCCAGGCAUUGCUCUUUUUUUCUAUAUGUCCUCUCUUGGCUCCUAUAAAUUAAGCUAAUCUGUCAUUAAGGUAAAGACAUUAUAAUUAUUAUUAUUUUUGCAAUAUUUUCCAAAAGCAAAAUAAGAAAAACGUAUUUUGGAUGGUGGGAGGUGAUGAGAUUAAGUGAAAAAUCGUGUUUUAUCUUCUUUUUAUUUUUUGUGCCUAGGUCUUCUUUGAUAAAUAUUUACAAUUAGGGCUAAUACAAAUUGACUGCCUCAGAGAAUCUGUUGGGGGAACAUCUUUAACAAAUAAGAAAAUGGCAGCUAAAACUCUGAAGAAUCGGUCUUUCCUUCUUGUUUUUCAAGCAUACUCUAACAUGUUAAUUCAGCAGAUUUUCAGUGGAAGAAAAUACAGAGUGCUGCUCUAUUGGUUGGGCUCAUGAGCCAGCACAAUUAGGUAAGCAGUGUUUGAGGGCGGAAAUAGUCCCAGGCACACGGAUAUUGACACAACUAAUCUUUUUACAAUGCAAGCGUGAAUAAACUUGCUACUUGAAAAUGUAAGUGACCCAUACACUAAUAAUCUUUGCAUUUUUUAAUGUGAACUUAUAUAUAUGGAAGAAAUAUAUAUAAAUACUGUAAUUCACAUUCUAUGCACACAUUCACAUUAUUGUGAUCUCUAUUGGAAAUAAAGGCAUUUGUAAGCUUCAUAUGAGAAUAAGUAUGCAAUUAAAUACACCUUAUUACUACUAUUUUUGAAAAAUGACAAUAACAAAUCAUUCAAAUGAUUUUAAAACUUAAAAUGGUUUAAAAAAUGUAUGCCCAUCCUGAUUAGGGGGCUCUAAUAACUACAUGUUAAACAGUUUUAAAUUACCAGAAAUGUUAUAUAUUUUAUGACAGUUAAUGAAUCUAAUUUAGAAUACUGACCUUCCUUAUAAAAUAUAAUUAUAGAGUGCAGGUACUUCUGUAAUGGAUUCAAAGCUUUCUGCUUUAUCCAAUGAGAUUCCUUAUUGUCUUAGCAUCUAGACUAAUAGAAACAACAAAUUAACUUUUAUAAACUUGAGAACGCUUACAUUUCUUAAAGUGGAAAUUAGAAUAUUUCUCAUUGUAGAAGCAUUUUAAUGAACUACUCUUCCAAGAAGGCUAAGCAAGCAGCUUAUUUAAAUAUGAAAUAACUAAAUGUUAAAAAAUGUAGCAACUCUGAAAUAUGAACAUGUACUAACAUUAUUUCAUCAUAUCUGUAUUAAUUAUUAAUAAAAUUAAUAUUGCCAAUAAUAUUUAUAAUUAACAGUCUUCAACUGCUGAGAAAUACUUAAGAGACAAAAACCUUCUUUAAAGUAUAAAAUCUAUAGGAGUCUGAGGUCUUAAAAUCUCCAUCUAGUUUUGGUUACCAACAUACCCCAAGUUCUUUUCAGGCCAUUGUAAACAAAAUGCACACAGAGAUCCUAACGAGCAGUCCGGGGAGUGUCCAUGCUCCAGGGGUGGUCAGUAGAUGAUAGCCACCAGAACAUUUCAGAAGAUUGAAGCAAGCAUUUCGGUCUGCAAGUGAUGGUAGUGACAGAUGUUAACUUAUUACUUUUGCAGAAAUAAUUCAUUUUAGAGUCAUAGGGAUUGAUUAUAUACUGUGGCUUUUUGUUUCCUGAAAAUCACACUUUCAUACUGAAGAGAAAAAGUUGUUAGAAAAUCAAAAAUGGCUGGCAGGAAGCAAGUGAGAACUAUGAUCUAACUAAUCAAAAUUAAAAAGAAAAAACUUACAUGGAAGUGGACAGAGGAGACGGUUGAGUCAAGAGACUGACUAGGAUUUCUUCUUUCCUCCCUUCUUCUCCCCCCUCUCUUCUUCCUUCCUUCUCUUCUAAUUUUUGAACACAAUAAACACUUCUGAGAAAAUUAGAAAUUCUUUUUUUUAAACAGUAACAAGUAAUUUCAGUGACUUGUCAUUUUAUCUUUCAUGCUUGUUUAAGCUAAAGGAAGUGGCAGAUUAAGACAGGUCUCCCCAGCCUGCGGAAGAAUGUCCCCUACUCAAGGAGUUUCCCACCUCGUCUUUGGGCCUAGCCUGGCAGGUAGUCCAAAGGCUUGUUGUGGGCAGGCCAGCAGUCAACACCCUGGGUCACUGCCCAGCACUGCCUGUUACACUCACACACUGUCUUAAGAAAAGACUGAAAACUUAAACCAAAUUUGGAGACAGCAACUACUGAGAAGAGUUCCACUAGGGUGAGUGGAGGCGGUCAGACUGGAAGUCACGUUCUGAUGGUGGGUGUAAGGAACUGGGGGGAGUGGCUGUGGGGGCUUGAGGCCUUUUGAAUGUUUAGAUUCUAUUUUGUCUUGGCCCAACUUUAAUCCACCUUGCAUCAUCCUUUCUCAUCAAUCACAGUUUAAAUAUUUGUUCUCCCCACAGCUCUUUCAUCUUUUCUGCAAAUUGAUGUCUUCAGCAGAAUUCUAUGUAAAAAGAAUGCUGACAGCACCAUCCUAAUUUUUAAAAAACUCUCUGAUUAACACGUUUCUUUUUUGUGGCUGACCUACUCAUCAUAGGAAGAUUGUAAACUGGUACUUUGCUUUCGACAGCCCCUCAGAUCAUUCAUGGCCUGUAUAACUGGAGAGAUGUGUUUGGGAGAGUUCGGGCUUCCUAACCACAAGGUUUCUUCUCUCCCAGUCUUGAAGUGAGUAGACAGUCUACACUGGCAUAUCCUUAGGCUUGGAUGUCUGAUAGAUACCUGUUCUCUUAGUUAUAUCACAUCUUUUUGCCUUUAUGACAAGAAAAUGUUCAGAAGAACCAGCUUAUUUUCUCAAGAAAAAGAAAUCAGGAACUUUGUUUAUUUUGCCUUGUGCUUUGGAUAAACUAAUCCAAAUCAGGUGAGCUGUCAGUUGUUUACAGUCGAAUGUCAGCUGUAGAAAACCGAUACACAGAUCCAAUCAUUCUAUUAUCCAACAUGGUACAUAUACCCGAAUUUUCUGUCGAAGUCAUUAAGUUUCUAAAGAAAGCAAAGAUGAGAAGAUAGUUUAUACUUACGCUUUCAGUUUUUUUUGUUUUUUUGCAUACCCAUUUGGCAACCUUGUCCCUCUUCAGCUUACUCUGCAGAUAAUGGCCGGUUCUCUGUUAUAUAAAUCUCCCAGCCCAGGCUUUGCAUUUUCAUUAGGAAUAGUUUUGAAAUUUUAGGAAUUAAUUUCUUUUGGGUAAUGCUUAGCUUCAGCUGUGAAUUAUGUCUAUGCACGAGUUGUAAACUGUGCUCUGGAGUUACACGUCUCUGCUGGAAGGAAAUGGCAGCUCUCUGCUCUGCACAGGAAAGGGUAAGUCAGAAGAAGUUCUGUUCUUGUUUAUUCUGUGAAGCACAUUCUUUUAAAAAGUAUUUUAAUUUUGCUAUCUGACAUCUAGGGGAGAAAUUAUCAGCCAUGGUAAAAUUCAUUGUUAACUCCAGCAAAGUGGAAAUGAUAAUGGGAAAUAUUACAAAUGUGUAAUUUUUAUUUUUUGAGGCUUUGUACAAAUAGUAAAACAUGUCUUUCCCCGUAUCUGUUCAGACUUAACUAUGAAAGGCAAGCCUCCAAAUGGACUAUGUCCCAGAUGGCAUUUAUUUUCUUAAGGUAUAAUUUAACGUAACAAGGCAGACACAAUAAGAGGCUCGCUACUAGGAAAGAAAUCAUAUGGAUGCAAAUAGUGUGAUUUCCUUUUAAUAUUUCAUUUAAAAAAGUCAAAUGAAAACAACCACUAAAUAAAAUAUAGUGGAACUUACCAAGUUAACGAAUGUCUGCCAGCUUGUUUUCUGAAUUGUUCAGAAGAGCUACAAUAAUCCUGUCCCGCGCUGGUUCACAUACUCAGCACAGCCAUCCAACGUCAUCUUGUUCAUUGAAACUGCAAUAUCUUUUCUAUUUUUCAAACUUGAUUCCAUUCGUAUGUCUCUAUUUUUAAUAAACAGACUUAUUUUCCUUUAGUAUCUCUUCUUAUUGAGUUUAAUGUGCUUUUUAAACAAGUGAGCCUCAGAGAAUUAUUAUGAACCUCAAUUAUACAUGUUGAAAAAUACUUUUACAGUUUAUGAAGAGCUCUAUAAACAUGACAUGUUACCAUUACUAUAUUCACAGCACCUCUUACAUAAUAAGUUUCAAAUACAUAAUCAGUUAUGUAAAAAACCAUAAUUAUGUUAUUCAACUCACAUCCUGAUAUUCAAAAUAAGUACUUCAGCUAGGGAAUAUUUGCAUAGUCCAAGCAGAUUUUUUUCCCUCUUUAACACUUUCAAUUUUAAGACAAAAUGUGUAUGGAAAAGAAAUCCUAUUUAUGAAUUACAGUAAGGCAUUAAUCAGUUUGUUCACCUGAGAAGUCAGACACCUUUAUAUACUUAUUUUUUAUGUGAAGAUAUGAUUUGUGUUAUUGUUAUUUUUUGAUAAUUUACUGCUAUCUCCAGUUUAUAAAAAGUAACUCAGAAUAUCAAUUUAAUACCAUUAAUUAUUUGAUUAAAAUGAACAGACGAAAUUUUUCUAUUUCCCAAAUCAGUUGCCUAAACCUGAAUAGGACGAAUAUUUUUCAAGAUUUUGCUUUUAGCUCACAGCCAUGGCAACCUUGGCUCCACAGAAAGGUCUUAUCAUUUUCCCAUUUUGAGGUGAAUUGAUGUGCAAUUAGUGUGCCCAUCGAUUACACCAGUGGCAGAAAUGCAGAUAAACCAAAGGAAGGUAGCUCUCACGAUAGAGGAAAUGACCCAGGCGCACUCCUAUUUUAAAGAUACAAAACUGGAAAUGUAUUUGCCCCUCAACUGGCACUCAGGGAGUUGAAUUUAACUAAUUGUCUUUGGUGACUAACUCUAUUUAACAUUUGCAUAUAUUUUCAACUGUUCUAAAUCUUUCUUUUAAUAUAUUUUAUGAAGAAUGCAUUAGAUGUUAAAAAUUCGCUGUCUGUGCUCUUAGUUCAGAAAUGAAAGAUACACACAUCCGGGAUGAAAUCAAAAGUCAGUUUUAAGGUAUAAAUUCCAUAAGCCAUGUAAAUAAAUUUAAUUUUUGCCAAAACUGUGUUUUUACACAAAUUCAUUGAAAUAGAGUCCUCUUUGAAUGUUAGGCAGAAUUUACAGCAGUGGUGGAUUAUUAGAACAACAUGGUGUAACAUCUUGAUAAAAUUAAAAAUUUCGCCGUUAGCCUCAUAUUCCUAGAGAAAAAUGCUCAUGCACCACAAGCAGGCUGCAACUGGUAGGAAAUUGCAGUGCUACAGCAUAGAGAAGCAAGCUAUUUUUUUAAUAUAUUAAUCUGACAGAAAAUUCGAGCCAGUCAUUUUAUGAAGAUUUAGACAUGGGCAGUCGUUGAAUUUUACCAAAUAAUGUUCCCUCCUAUUUAUAUUUUAUUUCUCAUAGUAACUGAGCACAUCACCGUGUUUUCUCCUUUUUAAGGAGAAAGUAAACUUGUCUUUUUAGUUUCAUGAAAAAACAGGCAUUUCUGAUCGCUUCCAUUUAGUUACAAUUUGUAAAGGCCAUACUGCAAUUCAAACGAGGGGACGGUCUUUUGUUGUGUGUCUGCGAGCUGAUGGGACUGGCUUUUCUUCUCAUUGUCGUAGUUUGAAAUUGAAACACGGCAUUGCUGAGAAAAUGCCAUGAAAAUAUAACCCACUACAUUCCAGGAAAAUAAAUAAGCAAGGCCACCCAAAUUUUCAAUUAGUGCUCGCGCAGAACGCAGGAAAUGGCAAGAGAUCCGUGCGCGGCGCCCCAGGCCGGGUCGGGACCCGAAGCAGUGACAGGAAGGCUGGAAGGGGACGCCGGCACCGUGUGAAGAUGGCCCAUCUCCAAGGAAAAUGCGCGCUCACAGGCUGGCGCCGACUUCCUGAAGCAGACGGGGGAGUCUUGCAUCCUCGCCACGCGCGCUGCUCGGCUUCAAGAGCUGCAUGUUUAAUGGCGAAGUAACGCUGGAAAGCACUAGUGGCGUUACAUAUUCUACAUCAUAAGCUCACUAAACAUUCUCGUUGUCCCCCACGGACACAGUUUUAGCCACUGGAGCCAGCAAUAUUCUGGACAGUUGGGGAAAAUGAUAAAUUGCUUUUGAUUUAAAGCGUCAGGCCUAAGGAUCGAUUGUUCCCACUUGGUGGCACUGCUUGUUAGUGGUAUCAGCCAGCGGGGAAGCCACUGGUGUGGAGGCGAAGAAGGGGCUUGGCGUCCUCCCUCCCCAAAGGGAAAGCCAGUCCUCCUCUCCCAAGUCAGCAAGAGAGGUAAGAACACAGAGUUCCGAGGGAGGAGGUACAAAGUGAUGGUUUAGAAGCGCCUCUCCUUGAAUAUAUUUUUCUGAAACGGUACCCUCUCAAGUCUGGAGGUAAUACCUGAAAGCAAGAAAGGGAAGAGGGGACAGUGGCUUCUUCAGGGGUUAUAUAUACCCUGACCUCUGCCUUGUCCUUCCUUCGCCCGCUUUCUCUUCCACUUCUCAGACCCUCACUGCAGCAUUCGGAGUUUUACUGCUCAUCCUGUUGAAGCUAGUUAAGGAAAAAAAUCCAUUUUUCAGCGGCAUGAUGUUGGUUGUGCUUAGAAAACAGCCCCUGUGAUUUUGGAUGGAUUUUAUCUGUGUCAUGGUUCUAAUUGUUUUAAAUUUCAAAUUACAUUACAUUCUUUGACAGCCUUCACACUGCAUUGAUAAAAAGUAAAUCUGAACGUUCGAUUUAUUCUUACAACCAAGGAGUGAAAUCACUGGGGAGCUCCCAUGGACUCCAGUUGUUAAACCGAGGAGGAGCGCUGGCAGGGGACCCCGCCGGGCUGCACGUGGAGCGCAGGACGAGAGCGGGGGAGCAGAAGACAGAGACGCAUCCUCCAGCUGAAGAGGAACCUAGGUCCUGGGAGGAAGCAUGGAUGGAGCAGAACCACAGCCAAGAUGGACGUAACGGGAGUGAGAGAGAAGCCUCUGCUGCGGUGUGCCCUGGGAUUUCAGAGCUGUUUGUUAUUGUCUCAGAACACAGCCUCAGCCACUGAUACAUUACACUGCUGCCAAAGCAGAGAUGGCUUGGCCAGUGGUCACUCAUUCCAUUUUGUACAAUUUAACCUUGAUCCAGGGCAUUAUAUAAUCAUGAUUCUAAUUUUUUUACUAAGAUCACCAAGUGGAUUCAUGGGGAGCCGAUGCCCAGAUGCUCUACUCCAGGUUCCACAGACAGUCUUGUCCGUAUGGAGCCAGGCCUGGCAGAGAAGGACACACCCAGAAAGCCGUGGAUCCUGCUGCCCAGUGGUGGCUGGCCCAUGUACACUUUGAAGUGCAUUUUUUUGACUGAAUUUCAGCAGCAUCAGCUUAGCUCCAUGAGAGGAAGAGAUUCUCCAGAGGAAGGGAGGAAGAGGACCUCUCUCUCUUCGGUGACUUCAGAUGCCUCAACCUGAGCCAUGUGUUCCUGAAGGCAAAAACCAGAAAAAAAUCACCAUAGCAUCGGGUAGAGAGUGGUUUGUUUGUAAGACAGUGGUAGCAGGCACAGAGCGUAUUAAGUUUAGGGGAUCAAAAAUGUCUUCUUGGAGGAGGCAGCUUUUCUGCUGGACUUCGAAGAAUGAAUAGGAAUUCAAUAUCCAGAGAGAGCAGGAUACGGCCAUUUGCCCUAGAGGUUCAUUGUGAUCAGAAACACUACAGUAGGAAGGCCCAGAGUGUUCCAGAAAGUGUGUUACCUCUUCCAGAUCAAGUCUUUAGCUCAAAGAAUUAAUACUUAGUAGAUUAGGACAAGAGUUUUGUGGGGGUUUUUUGUUUAAAUGGGAGAGGAGUUUCUGAAAUCUGACCUCAUAGCAUUUUGCCGAUAUUUUGGUACUAAUCUUGUAUUAGUUUGAUUCCUCUGCUUUCAUUUCUGUGUCCUCUCCCCUAAACACUGAGCUACUGAAAGGCAGGGGUAGUGUUCUACUGAGCCAUUACGCUGAGACCUAGCACAGUUCUUGACACAAUGAACAUGCAACAAAUACUUAAUGAAGAAUGAAUAAAUAAAUAUUGUUGGCCUUCCCUAUUCUUGCUUGUAUGUAGAAAAUAUACACACUUUGUGAAGUGAAGAACCUACAUGCUUGUUUUUAAAAUGUAGAAAAAAAAUCAGAAUCAUUGUCAAGAUUUGCCCAACAUUUAUAAUGACCUUUGCUGAAAAGCAAGUCAAAUGUCUUCUUUUCUUAAAGAUCAUAAUUCACAGCUGUCACAUUUCUUCUUAUUUUAUGUGUAACCGUGUGUGCCUUUACAAAUCCAUUUGUGACUAAAUUUUUAAAAAUUGGAAAAAA